rnacentral:piRNA from 1 species
UGGCAGCAAUGUGUCCGGUUGGCAAC